AGAUCCACCCUGACGACGAGUGGCGAACGGGUGAGUAAUACAUCGGAACGUGUCCGCUCGUGGGGGACAACCAGCCGAAAGGUUGGCUAAUACCGCAUGAGUUCUACGGAAGAAAGAGGGGGACCCGCAGCCUCUCGCGAGCGGAGCGGCCGAUGACUGAUUAGCCAGUUGGUGAGGUAACGGCUCACCAAAGCAACGAUCAGUAGCUGGUCUGAGAGGACGACCAGCCACACUGGGACUGAGACACGGCCCAGACUCCUACGGGAGGCAGCAGUGGGGAAUUUUGGACAAUGGGCGCAAGCCUGAUCCAGCUAUUCCGCGUGUGGGAUGAAGGCCCUCGGGUUGUAAACCACUUUUGUAGAGAACGAAAAGACAUCUUCGAAUAAAGGAUGUUGCU
rnacentral:rRNA from 1 species